rnacentral:rRNA from 1 species
AAACUAACAAGGAUUCCCCUAGUAGCGGCGAGCGAAGCGGGAAGAGCUCAAAUUUAUAAUCUGGCACCUUCGGUGUCCGAGUUGUAAUCUCUAGAAAUGUUUUCCGCGCUGGACCGCACACAAGUCUGUUGGAAUACAGCGGCAUAGUGGUGAGACCCCCGUAUAUGGUGCGGACGCCCAGCGCUUUGUGAUACAUUUUCGAAGAGUCGAGUUGUUUGGGAAUGCAGCUCAAAUUGGGUGGUAAAUUCCAUCUAAAGCUAAAUAUUGGCGAGAGACCGAUAGCGAACAAGUACCGUGAGGGAAAGAUGAAAAGCACUUUGGAAAGAGAGUUAACAGUACGUGAAAUUGUUGGAAGGGAAACGCUUGAAGUCAGACUUGCUUGCCGAGCAAUCGGUUUGCAGGCCAGCAUCAGUUUUCCGGGAUGGAUAAUGGUAGAGAGAAGGUAGCAGUUUCGGCUGUGUUAUAGCUCUCUGCUGGAUACAUCUUGGGGGACUGAGGAACGCAGUGUGCCUUUGGCGGGGGUUUCGACCUCUUCACACUUAGGAUGCUGGUGGAAUGGCUUUAAACGACC